UGUAAAUACCCUCCUUGGGUGUUUCCUCCCUAGACUUGAACCGCGCCACAAGCGCGGUUUUUUUUGAGAGGA
rfam:Sinorhizobium sp. RAC02, complete genome.